AGAGCAUUCCCAGAAGGGGGGCCAGGGCAGUGCGCACAGUGAGGAGAGCAGCUGUGUGCAAGGUUGAAACAAAACGUUCAAAGCCCCCUUGGAAGCCCAUUCACAGGUGUGUGACUGUGAACCACAUCGUAAUCUCCUAGAAAGCAAGAACAUCAGGCUUACAUUUUUCACUUGCCUCUCAGGGCUCAGUGCUCUGCAGUAUAUACAUUGAGGAAACUGGGCCCUGACACAUUAACUUGCCCAAAAGAUCACAGUGGGCAACAUUCUAGAGCACAAACAAUGGAAGCUGACAGCAAUGUCAGCAAAGAUGGAAAACAGAACGUGGAGAGAGAUGUAGCUUACUAGAGCCCUGUGGCUUCAGUCCCCACCAGGAAUGUCGUUUAAGAGGAAGGUGAUCAAGCACAAAUUCACAUUUGCUUGAGGAAGAAUACAAAUAGAAGCAGCCUCGGGGAGGGGGCGGGGCUGGGGAAUCCCUGGCCUCUCUCCUUUCCUUCUGGCUGAUCUUCUGCCAGAGACCUGCAACAGGAAGCUGGGGGCCAGGAAGCCUGUGGAUGCCCUGAAGAAGAAUGAGUGAUCUGAAAGGGCAGUAGAACAGUACUAGAAUCCAGUGCAAAGGCCCUGGGGCAGGAGUUCACAUGAGAAGUGGGUAGAAGGAACCAGCCUAUGAUCCAGGAACACAGUGAACAAGAUUUGGAAAGCUGACAGAGAAUAUGAGGCCUCCUCUCCAAACAGAAACUCCAGGAGGCUUGGUUGAUUCACUGACACAUGCACAGUGCUGAGCACAGUACCAGACACCAGAGUCUGUGUUCCAGAAAUGGAAGAAUAGGUGAGUAAUGAAAGGCUAAGUAAGCAAAUUCUUUGCAAAUGGGGAAAAGAUUGAAUGUAUAGGACUGCACAUAUCAGAAGCCCCCUGGAAUCUCUGCAUCCAGAAGAUUGCAGUCACCUUCGAAGCACUCACCACCAGAGGCUACUCGCACACUCUCCUGUGGCAGCCGUUCACCUCGGCCCUUUUCCUAGGGAUUUGACUUCAAGUCCCAGAAUGGGCCUCAGGGUCUUUGCAUUUGCCUUUCUAUGAGUCUGGAACACCACCCACCCCCUCACCUGUGGGCAGGCAAAGCACCUCCUGUGUUCAUGUCAUCUCCUGUACCAAGCCCUUCCUGAUGACCAACUUGGAGCCGGGUGCCCUCUAUCCAUGCCUCCAUGGCCCCCUAUGAUAAUGUCCCCCAUAUCACUUAUCAUUCUGCUCGUGAAUUUGGCUUCAUUAAUCUUGCAACAACCCCAGAGUAUUAGGCCACCACCUCUCAUGCCCGACAGAGUCCAUGGCAGAAGGUGGGCUCUCAGAUUUUAGCUGCGCUCCUGAAUGAAAGAAUCAAUAAAAGCCACACAGCAUUAAGUGGCAGACUCUAGUAAUUUAAUUCCUGGUCCCGGGCUCUUUGAUAUAAAAUAACUCUUCUAUUUUUAAUACACCCCACAUUCCUGAAGAUGACACUACUGCAAAAUUAAAGAAAUGUGAUGAACAGCUUACAACCUGCAACACACUCGGCAGCUCAAAAUGACAACAUUAAUUUAAUGAACUUAAACACUGGUGAACUUUUUAACACAUCCGGAGUUAUUUACACUGGGAAAUGCAUACUUAAGAUUGCCUGCCAAAGAGACUCAAAUAGAGAUGACACAUAUAUCUUUCACAUGUUAAUCUGCAUUUUAAACUUUGAGCUUUGAUACAAGUUGGCUUUUCUCUUUUGGAAUGAAGAAAUCAAGAGACUACUUUUUUACCCAUCCAUCCAUCCAUCUAUCCAUCUAUCCAUCCAUCCAGCCACAUCUUUCCUAAGUGACAGGAUAUAUCACACACUAACUGUGUGCACAGCACUCUACCUAAAGAUCAGCGCUAACAGAGGAAUAAGCAGAGGCCUCCAGGAGCAAAGAGUGAAGAGUCUGGCAAGGCUUCAAGUACAGGGGUAAGUGGAUGGAGCUUUCACUGUAGAAUCUUUCCUGGAGAAAAAGCAAACAGUGGGGCAACAAUAAAGGCAUUAAAAAUAACUGUCAAGUUGAAGAAAAAAUCUGAAGUUUAUCAAUACAUGAUCUCCUCAAAAACGAAAGAAAUAAAACAAGUAUCUGCAAUUUGCUGAGAACCUAAUAUGUGUCAGUUGCCUGCAAAACUCAUCAUUCUUAGACUUUCAAAUACAUCUGUAAGGACGGUAUUGUUGUUUCCACUUACACAUGAGAAAACUUACAGAAGGCAAGAGACAAGCCCACAGUCACCCAGCUGGUAUUUUGCCAAAGACUAAGGAUUCGGAUAUGACUACGGAAAGGAAAACUAAGCUCCAUGAGAAGAGGGGACUUGCCCAUGUGGCUCAGGGCUCUAUACCCAGUGCCCUAGACAGUGCCUGACGGUGUGUGUGGAAUGAAUGAAUAACUUUGGUGAUCCACCCAAUGGCACUGGCGCUCAGUGACCUCAUCUGAAAUGGAAUAAGGAUUUUAUGAAAAUGCAUGUUUGUUGAAUAACACAAAGGAGAAUAUUACCUAAUGUGGCUUGGGGUCAAUAUCAAGCAGUAAUAUUGUUUUAAUAUUAAUUAGAGCCGUGUCAUUGCAAGAGCUGGUAAGAA
rnacentral:antisense_RNA from 1 species